rnacentral:rRNA from 1 species
GUCUGGCCUGCUCACUGAUUAUUUUAAAGAGCCGCGGUAUUUUGACCGUGCAAAGGUAGCAUAAUCAUUAGUCUCUUAAUUAGAGGCUGGAAUGAAUGGCUUGACGAGAAAUCAACUGUCUCUUAAUAAAUUUUAGAAUUUAACUUUUGAGUCAAAAGGCUUAAAUUUUUCUUUAGGACGAGAAGACCCUAUAGAGCUUGACAUUUUAUUUAUAUAUAAUUUUAAGAUGGUCUUUUUAUAUUUAAUGAUAAUGUUUUGUUGGGGUGACAUGAAGAAUUAAUAAACUCUUUAUUAUUAAAUCAUUAAUUUAUGUUUAUUUUGAUCCAUAAUUUAUGAUCAAAAGAUUAAGUUACCUUAGGGAUAACAGCGUAAUUGUUUUUGAGAGCUCAUAUCGACAAAGCAGAUUGCGACCUCGAUGUUGGAUUAAGAAAAGUUUUGGGUGCAGUAGCCCAGUAAUUAGGUCUGUUCGACCUUUAAAUUCUUACG